AUUGAACGCUGGCGGCAUGCUUUACACAUGCAAGUCGAACGGUAACAGGCCGCAAGGUGCUGACGAGUGGCGAACGGGUGAGUAAUGCAUCGGAACGUGUCCAGUCGUGGGGGAUAACGCAGCGAAAGCUGCGCUAAUACCGCAUACGAUCUAUGGAUGAAAGCGGGGGACCGAAAGGCCUCGCGCGAUUGGAGCGGCCGGUGUCAGGUUAGGUAGUUGGUGGGGUAAAGGCCCACCAAGCAAAGUAUCUGUAGCUGGUCUGAGAGGACGACCAGCCACACUGGUACUGAGACACGGCCCAGACUCCUACGGGAGGCAGCAGUGGGGAAUUUUGGACAAUGGGCGCAAGCCCGAUCCAGCAAUGCCGCGUGCAGGAAGAAGGCCUUCGGGUUGUAAACUGCUUUUGUACGGAACGAAACGGUCCGGGUUAAUACCCUGGGCUAAUGACGGUACCGUAAGAAUAAGCACCGGCUAACUACGUGCCAGCAGCCGCCGUAACAC
rnacentral:rRNA from 1 species